rnacentral:lncRNA from 12 species
CAAUCAAAGACUUCCUUUUGGUGCAUGUUUAGAUCUGAUUAAAAUUUGAGAAAAAUACAAUUAAACGGAUUAAAAAUUCGAAUCUCUUAUGUGAAUUAAAAUUACCCUCACUACCAACCUACUAGCACUGUUUAGACUGUCCUACACGUACAUACCACAGACUGUAUAAAAAGGUACAUACACACAUACACACACACGCGCGUUUUUAAAUCACAAAACAACCAUCCCGAUUGGUCAGCGUCUUACGCUCUACUCGCGUUCAGCCUAUCGCAGCACAUGACACUGGAAAGUGGGUAGAGCGUUUUCACGCUCAUAUUAUUCUUCUCGCAGGAAGAGCGGCUUUCAAGCGAGGGGGAGUUUCUUUCUUACAGAAAAGAGAGAGAGAGAAAGAUAACACUGUGUCCCAACACUGACCCGUUACCAACACUUCUCACCACCAUAAAUAUUGAUAAGUGACAGCCAUAUCAUUAAUAUCGGUGUGCCAGAGAUGUAAAACGACUCUAAAACACUUGAAGCGGCACUUGACUCUCAUCCGCCAGCUGCUGCUCAGUUACAACAUCUCAAAACACAAAAAUUCUGAUGUUGUAGAGAAAGAUUUCAGUAGUGUCAGCAGCCUUAACUGCAACCUCUUCACUCUGAUGUUUCGCAGGCUGUCCCUGCAGAGCGUCCAGUUUCUGACCGUGCCAGCAGUGAUUAAUGGGGGCACAGGCUACGCAGUAUAAAACUGGAUUUACAUGGAAGCUUAUGGCACACAAGUGGAUUAGCUGGCUUUAGAGAGUGUGGUACUGUGAAUGCCUGUAAAGAGGGCUGCGGGUCCUCGGAGACGCAGUCGAGGUUAGUCAGCAUUACAGCUGUAAAUCCAGCUGUUUCUUUUCUAACAUUUCCUUGUUUUCCGCCUCCGAUGCCAACAGCACACCUAUCUGAUGCUUCCCAGAACUCCCUUUUGUUUGACUCAAUUACCGCACACUGUUUGUUCACAUCAUCAUUUAAAGCAGUGAUUCUCAACAGUUUUUCUUCAAAAACUCUUCAUUGACACCAAAC